AAGUCGUAACAAGGUUUCCGUAGGUGAACCUGCGGAAGGAUCAUUAUAAAAUUUUCAUAUAUUAUUUAUUUAAUAUAUAAAAUUAUAUUACAAAAUGUAUUCAAAACCCACACACUUUAUAACCAAAAAAAAAUAUAUAUUUUUUAAUAUAUAUUAUAUAUAAAAAACAACUUUCAACAACGGAUCUCUUGGCUCUC
rnacentral:misc_RNA from 1 species